UACGGGGGGGGCAAGCGUUGUUCGGAAUUACUGGGCGUAAAGGGCUCGUAGGUGGCCAACUAAGUCAGACGUGAAAUCCCUCGGCUUAACCGGGGAACUGCGUCUGAUACUGGAUGGCUUGAGUUCGGGAGAGGGAGUGCGGAAUUCCAGGUGUAGCGGUGAAAUGCGUAGAUAUCUGGAGGAACACCGGUGGCGAAGGCGGCAUCCUGGACCGACACUGACGCUGAGGAGCGAAAGCCAGGGGAGCAAACGGG
rnacentral:rRNA from 1 species